ensembl:lncRNA
AGCUGACCCCAACUCAGUUCUGUUUCUUGUACAGACUAUUCUAGUCCUGUCUCCCUAGCGUUCCUGAUGUUGUGUUUCUAGCUGAUCCUAACUCUUCACCUUCUAAAAGGACGUGUGUCUCCACGGCCCUUCAAAGCAUAAUGGAAGGAGAGAGAGAGUCGCAUCCUGGUUUUGUCCCUUACUGACUAUGUGCAGGAGCAGAUCUAAAUAACAGAAUACACAGUCUCACCAAGGUCAUUGUCAAAGACAAUGGGGCUCCUCUGCUUAGCAUUAGGGAGCUUUGAUUUCCCAGUUCUUGCCUGGACCACUGUGAACCUGGCUCAUAGACAAGGGAUCGCUCCUUAAACAAAACAAAUGAACGAAUCACAGACUCACAGCCUGGUGAAGCUACUUCUUUGGUAUUCAUAGGUUUUAUGUAAAUAGCGACAGCCAUCGGUGGGACAAGAUCUUCCUGCACAAGACACUCCCGCCUGUCCAGGGCUCCUCUGAUCAUUCUGAUCCCAUGGCCUCGCAGCCCUGACCUGCUCCAUCCACUACAUACCCUGAAAAGCGUUCUUGCAGCGGGCAACAGUCCCUGCAGAAGCCUAUUUCACAUGUCCGCAGCAAGAAGAACAGGAGAGUGCCUUGGAGAGAGUAUUUUGUAAGCAAUGGGAAAAGGUAUUAUUGUUACUAGUUCUUCUGGAAGCAUAUUUGCCUAUGCAGAUUCAUCAUCUGUAAUAAUUAAAUGCAAUACUUUUGUUUCUGGCUAUGUAUUGUAGUUUGGAAAAGCAUGACAAUAUUCAAUUAAAAAUAACUUUGAAAAUGUAUACAGAGAUCCUUCAGCUGGCUAAAUAUUCUACUUGAAGACAGAUGAAUAAAUAAUUUUAAUAUCAAAUCUAGACUAUGCUUUUUAGAAGUAAAGAACAGAGAAUCUUUUAUAAUAAGGUAGCUUGUCACCUUCUGGGCAUUUUCAGAUCAUCAAAUGAUACGGGUGUAUUAUAGUAUUGAAAAGUGUCAUCCUAUUAAGCGGUUAUAGCAAAGUUGCAAGACACAAGGUUAACAUACAAAAAUCAAUUGCUUUCUUAUUUACUAGCAAUAAACAAUUGGAAUUUGAAAUUGAAAACACAAUAUCAUUUAUAUUAGCAACAACAACAAAAGAAAUACUUAU